rnacentral:rRNA from 1 species
GAUGAACGCUGGCGGCGUGCCUAAUACAUGCAAGUCGAGCGAACGGACGAGAAGCUUGCUUCUCUGAUGUUAGCGGCGGACGGGUGAGUAACACGUGGAUAACCUACCUAUAAGACUGGGAUAACUUCGGGAAACCGUAGCUAAUACCGGAUAAUAUUUUGAACCGCAUGGUUCAAAAGUGAAAGACGGUCUUGCUGUCACUUAUAGAUGGAUCCGCGCUGCAUUAGCUAGUUGGUAAGGUAACGGCUUACCAAGGCAACGAUGCAUAGCCGACCUGAGAGGGGGAUCGGCCACCCUGGACCUGGGAACCGGCCCAGCCCCCUAGGGGGGGCAGCAGGAGGGAAUCUUCCGCAAGGGGGGAAAGCCGGACGGAGCAACGCCGGGGGGGUGAUGAAGUUCUUCGGAUCGUAAAACCUUUUUAUUGGGAAAAAAAAAAUUUGUAAGUAACUGUGCACAUCUGGACGGUACCAAAUCAGAAAGCCCCGGCUAACUACGU